GUUAAUGUUAAAGAAGAACAGCAGUAAUAACUUAUCUCUUCCUGUUUCAGACUUAACGUAACCAAUACUUCCCUCUCAAGGAAAACUCAUAUGGGCCUCACUGAUCAAACAAAGUGAGUUUGCAAAAGAAAGAUUCGACGUAGUCAACUCUCUGUACUCUUCAGUGAUGGAAGCUGCUUAGUGGAAAUGUGGGAAAUUACAGAUUAGGGACACAUUUGGAUACUUACCUAGAGCUGGGUCAUCUUUAUUAAUGUGAGCUGAAUAUCUACACAGCAGCCGCAGAAAAUGAAAGGGCAACAUGUGGUGGAUUGACAUUACACAUGGCCCUGAUGCUUCAUCCUUCAUGAUAUUCAUGCCCUUUGCCACAAGAUUUCGCUGCUCUUCCCAUCAAGAAGUAAGUAUCUUUCC